UACGAAGGGGGCUAGCGUUGCUCGGAAUCACUGGGCGUAAAGGGUGCGUAGGCGGGUCUUUUAAGUCAGGGGGUGAAAUCCUGGAGCUCAACUCCAGAACUGCCUUUGAUACUGAAGAUCUUGAGUUCGGGAGAGGUGAGUGGAACUGCGAGUGUAGAGGUGAAAUUCGUAGAUAUUCGCAAGAACACCAGUGGCGAAGGCGCUCACUGGCCCGAUACUGACGCUGAGGCACGAAAGCGUGGGGAGCAAACAGGG
rnacentral:rRNA from 1 species